AUGCCUGUAUAUAAGAGCUUAUUAUGAGAGUGUAAAUACAGUGUGAAUAUAUUAGUGUGGAUGCAUAGUAAAUGACUGAAUUUUGAUAGAUGUAUAUUUCGUGAGCCAUAAAUGUUGGUGUGUUUUAUUUUUUCAGUUAUGUGUGUGUGGGGAGAAGCUGCGAGGAUGAUGAGAGAAAAGGCAGUGUGUGUGAGACGAUUACUGAAUGACUAAAGAGGUUAGAACCUUUAAAAGUGUGUAUGAAAGAAAGGGGUAUGAAAUAUAUUUCUUGUGUGAGGAAAAGUAGGAUGUUUUAAAGUUUGAAAGUGCUUUUAAUUCAAGAAAUCCAUGAGAGAUGUUAUGACAGGUUGAGUGUAUUUUUUCCGAUUGAAAAUACAUAAGUAUAUGUACUUGGGAAGCCCAGUUAAGAGAUUAUUGGGUGACUGAUGCUAUAAAACUGACCUAAAGAAUGGUCCUGUCCGUGGAGAAGUGUUAGUUGUCCUGAUGUUUGGAAGAGCUCUAUUUAAAAGUGUGUGUGAGAGGAAGGUGUGUGUGUGACUGAUGAUGUCAGGGGAGCACCCAGAGAAAUAGACAGAUGAGUUAAACUCUAAGAAGAUGAAGCGAAUGCAUGUUUUAAGAAAAAGUAAUAAAGUAAUAAAAUUAUAUUAAUUACAGGUUUUAGAAAAGAGACAGACUGAGAGAAAUAAAUACAGGAACUAACAAUUACAUUAAUGAAUUGAAAAUGCACGUACACAAACUGUUACAUGUGAAAUUAUUGUUGGAAAGUUUAAUAAAGAAAGCAGUUUACACUCCUUUAAUUUCCAGAACCAGUGUGUCCCCUAGGCCUGAUAACACUCUUGCCCAGUUGGCUCCUGUAGUAGGCGGGCAUGGAAGGCUGGACAGCCCAUGACGGGUAAGAUCCCACCUCGAAACCCUGGGACAACCUAAGGCAAGGCGCAGUCACGAUUGCUCGAACCUAAGUCCCGGAGUGACCUUGGAGUCACUGGAGGAGACGGAUUUAACAGGUAAGGCCACUGGGCACAGACGAAGGGGAAAUGUCAUUCACAAUGACCAGUGAUGAGCCAAAGAGAGAAAACACACCCUGUCAAAAGGAGUUUGGAACACUGGAAAAGAAACAUUUACAAGAUCACAAAGAUCAUAAAGAAACAUUUAUAAGAAUCACACAUACAAACAGAAAAUGCACUAACCUUACAGAGACAAGCUCAUGAAGAUUAAUGAACAGAUAAUGACUUAAAACCUGGCUAAGAACACAAACAUACGUAAUUAAAUCAGCCUGCUAAUUUCAUGAGGGUUAAAAUGGUGUGAAUGGUUAAUACAAUUGAUGGAAAGAUUUAAAAUAGAUGGAAAAAACAAAAGAAAAGUGUCUAUAAGAGUGACUCAGGAGUGCUCUUGCACUGAUUUAUCAAAGUAAGUGAUUAGUAUAGAAAGAAAAUGAAAAUAAUUCAAUGAUGUGAUAAGGUUUAAAAACAUGUAUUCCUCUUGUUAAGUUGGCUGUUGAGCUGUGGGUUUAUGCAAAUUAGCUGGAGUGAGUGAGUGACAAAGACACUUCCUGUGUGCGUGUGUGGCGGAGGCUUUCGGUUCAGUUCAAGAGAGAGCAGUGGCUGUUGAAGAGUAUUGGGAGAAAUAUAUAAUGGUAAAGUAUCAGGAUAUUUGAUUACGGUGGUCAGGUCUGUUCAGAGGGGCAGAUUUGGACAGGAAAUUUAUAAUUUAAGGAUGAUAUGUGGUUGAAAUUGGUUUUUAUCUUGUGCUGAAUGAAAACGGUCUUUGAUCUUUUGACGAGGUUUUCGGUGUGUUGAACGGGUGAAAUUUAAGAUUGUUUCAGAUUUUUGAGGCUGUUGUUUUAUUUCCAGAGAGGGUGUUUCAUUAAGGCAGGGAUAGGUCUGAGAGGGGCCCCAAAAAUUUUUUGUAGUAGUAAGUGCACUCAGGAAAAAACCUGUCAGGUGAUUUUGUUUGGUACUUUGAUGAGCUAAUAAUCAGCUCUCUUUUUUCAUUUUUGUUCUAAGCAGGCCUGGAAGAGAGUGAACGGACGGCGCUGACAAAGUUACCAAGUACGAAAAUCAG
ensembl:lncRNA